CACCUCGUCACUCGAGCCAGGCUUCAGCGGCCGCCGAUCGCAAGGCCCCGGCGAUGUAUUCGCGCGCCUGCUAUUGUCUACCGCGUCCCUCGGUUAUGGGCUGGGGUAGAGGACGUGGCCCAACUUCUUUUCACGGUCGUUCACCUUCAUGCUGAGCCCAGCUCUGUGGAAGAAGAUCAUGCAAAUACAGAAAAUUGACGCAGUUCAGUCUGGGCAGCCGAUCAAGUUAAAGAUGUUUGGGGAGAAGGUGAAGAGAGUCCCUCUGCUAAUGACUACACACAUCCAGGCCAUGCCAUCUUCUUUCAGCUACCAUCAGGCAUGAGGAACAGAAGCCUGAAGUCCCUCACCACUGGAUUCAGAAACAGCUAUUUCCCCAAACCAAUAAGUUCUUAAACCCACUGGCCACUUAGCACUACAUUGCAACAAACACAAAAUGCUGGAGGAGUUCAGCAAGUCAGGCAGCAUCUGAGGAAAGGAAUAAACAAUCAAUGUUUUAGGCUGAGACAUUUUUCCUGUUCUUGUUCUAUUCUUGUUUUUACAAAAGUGUGUAUUUUGUAAUUACAGAAGUGUCUACAGAUGCUGCUAAUAUACACAAAGGGCUGGAGGAACUCGGCAGGUCAGGCAGCAGCUACGGAGAUGAAUGAACUGACUGAUAAAGGAUCUCAGCCCAAAGCAUCAAAUGUUCAUUCCUGUUUACAGAUGCUGCCUAAUCAGUUCCUCCAGUAUUUUGUGCAUGUUACUCUGUGUAAUAUGUUUUUUUUUCUUGUGAAGGCUGCUUAUCUGAAGCUGCACCAUGUGAAGUUUUCCAGUGCGAUUGUACACAUAAGUACUUGUACAUAUGACAAUAAACUCAGCUUCAAUAAGA